rnacentral:rRNA from 1 species
GGCAGCAGUGGGGAAUAUUGCACAAUGGGGGAAACCCUGAUGCAGCGACGCCGCGUGAGUGAAGAAGUAUUUCGGUAUGUAAAGCUCUAUCAGCAGGGAAGAAAAUGACGGUACCUGACUAAGAAGCCCCGGCUAACUACGUGCCAGCAGCCGCGGUAAUACGUAGGGGGCAAGCGUUAUCCGGAUUUACUGGGUGUAAAGGGAGCGUAGACGGUGUGGCAAGUCUGAUGUGAAAGGCAUGGGCUCAACCUGUGGACUGCAUUGGAAACUGUCAUACUUGAGUGCCGGAGGGGUAAGCGGAAUUCCUAGUGUAGCGGUGAAAUGCGUAGAUAUUAGGAGGAACACCAGUGGCGAAGGCGGCUUACUGGACGGUAACUGACGUUGAGGCUCGAAAGCGUGGGGAGCAAACAGGAUUAGAUACCC